GUCUAUGGCACUGUCACCUUGAACACCCCUGAUCUUGUCGGAGCUCAGAAGCUAAGCAGGUUCAGGCCUGGUUAGUACUUGGAUGGAUCAGACAUUGGUCCUCUGAUGAAUGUAACAGUGCUAAAGGGU
rnacentral:rRNA from 1 species